rnacentral:rRNA from 1 species
AAUCCCUUAACGAGGAACAAUUGGAGGGCAAGUCUGGUGCCAGCAGCCGCGGUAAUUCCAGCUCCAAUAGCGUAUAUUAAAGUUGUUGUGGUUAAAAAGCUCGUAGUUGAACCUUGGGCCUGGCUGGCCGGUCCGCCUCACCGCGUGUACUGGUCCGGCCGGGCCUUUCCCUCUGUGGAACCCCAUGCCCUUCACUGGGUGUGGCGGGGAAACAGGACUUUUACUUUGAAAAAAUUAGAGUGCUCCAGGCAGGCCUAUGCUCGAAUACAUUAGCAUGGAAUAAUAGAAUAGGACGUGUGGUUCUAUUUUGUUGGUUUCUAGGACCGCCGUAAUGAUUAAUAGGGACAGUCGGGGGCAUCAGUAUUCAAUUGUCAGAGGUGAAAUUCUAGGAUUUAUUGAAGACUAACUACUGCGAAAGCAUUUGCCAAGGAUGUUUUCAUUAAUCAGGAACGAAAGUUAGGGGAUCGAAGACGAUCAGAUACCGUCGUAGUCUUAACCAUAAACUAUGCCGACUAGGGAUCGGACGAUGUUAUUUUUUGACUCGUUCGGCACCUUACGAGAAAUCAAAGUGCUUGGGCUCCAGGGGGAGUAUGGUCGCAAGGCUGAAACUUAAAGAAAUUGACGGAAGGGCACCACCAGGGGUGGAGCCUGCGGCUUAAUUUGACACAACACGGGGAAACUCACCAGGUCCAGACACAAUGAGGAUUGACAGAUUGAGAGCCCUUUCUUGAUUUUGUGGGUGGUGGUGCAUGGCCGUUCUUAGUUGGUGGAGUGAUUUGUCUGCUUAAUUGCGAUAACGAACGAGACCUUAACCUGCUAAAUAGCCCGUAUUGCUUUGGCAGUACGCUGGCUUCUUAGAGGGACUAUCGGCUCAAGCCGAUGGAAGUUUGAGGCAAUAACAGGUCUGUGGUGCUCUUAGAUGUUCUGGGCCGCACGCGCGCUACACUGACGGAGCCAGCGAGUUCUACCUUGGCCGGAAGGUCCGGGUAAUCUUGUUAAACUCCGUCGUGCUGGGGAUAGAGCAUUGCAAUUAUUGCUCUUCAACGAGGAAUCCCUAGUAAGCGCAAGUCAUCAGCUUGCGUUGAUUACGUCCCUGCCCUUUGUACACACCGCCCGUCGCUACUACCGAUUGAAUGGCUCAGUGAGGCGUCCGGACUGGCCCAGAGAGGUGGGCAACUACCCCUCAGGGCCGGAAAGCUCUC